UUUCCGUAGGUGAACCUGCGGAAGGAUCAUUAUUGUAUAACCGAGGUGCGAGGGCUGUCGCUGACCCGAAAGGUCGUGCACGCCCGAGUGCCCUCACACACAUCCAUCUCACCCCUAUGUGCACCACCGCGUGGGUCCCCCUUUGGCUUGUUCGGAGGGGGGCUUACGUUUUCACACAAACUUUGUAUGCAGUGUAGAAUGUAUUUCUUGCUUUUGCGAUCACGCAAUCAAUACAACUUUCAACAACGGAUCUCUUGGCUCCC
rnacentral:misc_RNA from 1 species